AGUGAACGCUGGCGGUAGACCUAACACAUGCAAGUCGAACGGCAGCACAGUAAGAGCUUGCUCUUACGGGUGGCGAGUGGCGGACGGGUGAGGAAUACAUCGGAAUCUACUUUUUCGUGGGGGAUAACGUAGGGAAACUUACGCUAAUACCGCAUACGACCUACGGGUGAAAGCAGGGGAUCUUCGGACCUUGCGCGAUUGAAUGAGCCGAUGUCGGAUUAGCUAGUUGGCGGGGUAAAGGCCCACCAAGGCGACGAUCCGUAGCUGGUCUGAGAGGAUGAUCAGCCACACUGGAACUGAGACACGGUCCAGACUCCUACGGGAGGCAGCAGUGGGGAAUAUUGGGCAAUGGGCGCAAGCCUGAUCCAGCCAUACCGCGUGGGUGAAGAAGGCCUUCGGGUUGUAAAGCCCUUUUGUUAGGAAAGAAAAGCAGCAGGUUAAUACCCCGCUGUUCUGACGGUACCCAAAGAAUAAGCACCGGCUAACUUCGUG
rnacentral:rRNA from 1 species